rnacentral:tRNA from 1 species
ACUAUUUUGGCAGAAAAGUGCUUUGGAGUUAGAUUUCAAUCAUGUGAUUAUUUUAUUACAAGUAGUA